rnacentral:rRNA from 1 species
CCUACGGGUGGCAGCAGUGGGGAAUAUUGCGCAAUGGGCGAAAGCCUGACGCAGCGACGCCGCGUGAGGGAUGAAGGUCUUCGGAUCGUAAACCUCUGUCAGCAGGGAAGAACGGUCACUGUGCUAAUCAGCAGUGAAUUGACGGUACCUGCAAAGGAAGCACCGGCUAACGCCGUGCCAGCAGCCGCGGUAAUACGGAGGGUGCGAGCGUUAAUCGGAAUGACUGGGCGUAAAGCGAUCGUAGGUGGUAUGUCAAGUCAGGGGUGAAAUCCCCGCGCUCAACGUGGGAACUGCAGUUGAAACUGGCAAACUGGAGUGUGUGAGAGGAUAGUGGAAUUCCAGGUGUAGCGGUGAAAUCCGUAGAUAUCUGGAGGAACAUCAGUGGCGAAGGCGACUAUCUGGCACAUAACUGACGCUGAGGAGCGAAAGCGUGGGUAGCAAACAGGAUUAGAUACCCGAGUAGUC